CCAAGUGUCAAGCAUGUCCGUAUAGAAGACCACCUAAACAGGCUUUGUAGGAGGGAGUCACAAGGUGCAUGGUGGAGAGAUGAUGGGACUCAUUGUCCAGAAGAAUGUCACAGGGUCGAUUGAUCAGUUGGGGCAGGGCAGGAACACGUCAUAAUGGUGGAAUGUCGUAAGGUGGGUUAAUUAGUUAAGGCAGGAAUUGGCUGUUUCACUUCCUUGUUUUUCAGCUGCUCCAGACUUCUUGGCUCCUGUAGGCCACCUGGACAUAUAUGUGCAGGUCACAGGGGUUACAAUGGCUGAGCUUCGGCUCAGAGGCCUGACAGUUCCCUUUUGGAAACGUUACAGGGUGAUGUGACCUCAGCCCACCCUCUUAUCUUUUCCUGGUCCUGGGUUUCAGAACUGCCUGGGGCUCAUCUGAGAUGCCCACAAGCUGCCGGGUCUCUUGGAGGGUCAUGAAUAUCAGCUCCUGGGUCAUUUCUUCCCAGAGGACAGCCUGAGAUGUGCCUGUGGGGCCUCUCAGGGGAGCCGCCGGGUGCACCCCCUCCCCCUACCUCCCGGGAGGGAGGAGUCCCCUGGUAUCUCCCUCCGUCAUCUAAAAGGAAACCCCUUAGGACAUUUAGCUUUUCUCACCCCAAGCCCAGUUUUCACUUCUUGGAAAUACCUCUCUGGUCAGCCACUCAGAUGCUGCUAUUGAAGGGAAAAGACUGGAAUGAUCCCUGUCCUUUGAAUCCUCUUAGCCUAGUGAAGGGAGAAAACUAUGGCUAAGGACAGGAAAACCACCUUCACUGAGAGUGAGAACUUGUGACGGUGAAUAACUCUUCUCUUUCCUGGUACCUGGACUUCAGAGAUUAAUACAAAACCCUGUGGGUCAGGACUUGGCAACACCAAGAAGCAUUCAAAUAUAAUGAUUUAUUCAACUGUGUAUUGUCAUGGAAAUAAUAAUUAAAUGGCACAUCUUUGUUGUCUGAA
rnacentral:lncRNA from 1 species